GUUCCUACGGGAGGCAGCAGUGGGGAAUAUUGGGCAAUGGGCGCAAGCCUGAUGCAGCAACGCCGCGUGGGUGAAGGAGCGUUUCGGCGCGUAAAGCCCUGUCAGCGGGGAAGAAGAAAGACGGUACCCAACCAAGAAGCCCCGGCUAACUACGUGCCAGCAGCCGCGGUAAUACGUAGGGGGCGAGCGUUAUCCGGAAUUACUGGGUGUAAAGGGAGCGUAGACGGCGAGGUAAGCCUGAAGUGGAAGCCCGCGGCCCAACCGCGGAACUGCUUUGGGAACUGUUUUGCUGGAGUAUGGGAGGG
rnacentral:rRNA from 1 species